GGAUGUACCUGGAGGGCGAGACGUUGUUAAGUCGUGAAUCGGAGCCAACCCAACCCCUUGAACGAGCGUUGGGGCCAGUCUAAAGACGUGAAGGCUUGUACAAUAAAGUCUCUAUUCCAGCUCCUUGGCCAUCAGACGCUCUGGCUCCAGUAAAGAAUGCAAAUAAUCAACACCUACUCAGCCGGGCACCUGUCACCAAUCAGCCUUCAUUACCACCUGCAUUAAAGCCUGCCAGAUCCCGGAAAUCCUCGCCCGAGUAUUAAUGUUCUCCUGUGUGCUCCUUCCAUGUUCCCCGCUGUGCUGACCUCAUCCACCAUGCCGCCAAGCCAUCCACCUGCUCACGCCACUGCCUGCCGCACGUUCCCCAUCUCGACGACCUGCCAAUACGCCCCAAGGAUCCACC